CUUGGUGGAAGCCAACAAUCUUCCCCAGUAGGAGCAGUUGGAAGGUUGACCACUGAAAYCCCUGACAGCCUAUWCUUCAGUGAAGCCCAAUAGACAAAGACCAUCGACUGUCCAAGCCUCACCAGAGCCAGUGCGUACGGAACGGUCUGAUUCUCUGUGCUCUGAGUCGGAGGUGGACCAGCUUGAGAUGUUCUCCCCAACACCCAGAUGUGGAUCUACCUGAUGUCCUCCAUUAACAACAACCCUUCAACUUUUCAUUACAUAAUCUACAGCUACGGUUAUUGUCAUGUUGUCAUUGUCUGAUUAAACGUUUUCUUGCUCUAUCAUACUGGGCACAUAAUAUGUGAGAUACACAGAUUACCUAAAAACACUAGCACUGCAAACACUCAGAACAAAGAGAGCAGCUGUACCUGGACUUUGCAMUCUCCCUCUUCAAGUCCCCAUUCCGCGAUUGGCUGCCUGUUGAGAAGAAGUGACAGGCGGAAACUCCGACCCACACAGCAACCACCUCCUCUAUAUUCUACACAACAGAAUUCAGUAUUUUAGUC